GCAAGUCGGGCGAGAUCUUCGGAUCUAGCGGCGGACGGGUGAGUAACGCGUGGGAACGUGCCCUUCUCUACGGAAUAGUCCCGGGAAACUGGGUUUAAUACCGUAUACGCCCUUCGGGGGAAAGAUUUAUCGGAGAAGGAUCGGCCCGCGUUGGAUUAGGUAGUUGGUGGGGUAAUGGCCCACCAAGCCUACGAUCCAUAGCUGGUUUGAGAGGAUGAUC
rnacentral:rRNA from 1 species